rnacentral:ncRNA from 2 species
GAGAUCUUUCUGUCAUGAUGUCCCGCGAACAGGGCGACGGCGGAACGAGGAAGCCGGUGUGAAUCCGGCGCGGUCCCGCCACUGUGAUCGGCGAGCGGAUCCCGAACAGACCACUGCCCCCUUGUGGGUGGGAAGGCCGGGACGAGCACUGACCCGAGAGCCAGGAGACUCACGCGGUCGCCUCCUCGAAG